AUUGAACGCUGGCGGCAGGCCUAACACAUGCAAGUCGGACGGUAGCACAGAGAGCUUGCUCUCGGGUGACGAGUGGCGGACGGGUGAGUAAUGUCUGGGGAUCUGCCCGAUAGAGGGGGAUAACCACUGGAAACGGUGGCUAAUACCGCAUAACGUCGCAAGACCAAAGAGGGGGACCUUCGGGCCUCUCACUAUCGGAUGAACCCAGAUGGGAUUAGCUAGUAGGCGGGGUAACGGCCCACCUAGGCGACGAUCCCUAGCUGGUCUGAGAGGAUGACCAGCCAGCCUGGAACUGAGAAACGGUCCAGACUCCUACGGGAGGCAGCAGUGGGGAAUAUUGCACAAUGGGCGCAAGCCUGAUGCAGCCAUGCCGCGUGUAUGAAGAAGGCCUUCGGGUUGUAAAGUACUUUCAGCGGGGAGGAAGGCGAUGUGGUUAAUAACCGUAUCGAUUGACGUUACCCGCAGAAGAAGCACCGGCUAACUCCGUGCCAGCCGCCGCAGUAA
rnacentral:rRNA from 1 species